rnacentral:rRNA from 1 species
UGGUGGAGUGAUCUGUCUGGUUAAUUCCGUUAACGAACGAGACCUUGGCCUGCUAAUUAGUUGGUGCCAUUCCGAUGGUAUUCAACUUCUUAGAGGGACUAUCUGUGAGGAGCAGAUGGAAGUGCGAGGCUAUAACA